UUCGGUGACACAAAACUAUUUUGAAAGGUUAACAGUUGACAGAUGAACAAGAAGACUGAAGACAUGAAUCGCACCACUAACAAAAAUGGCUCACUAAAGUAAUCAAAAUUCAUUGUUAAUCAAUACUGGAAAUCUUUGUUGAUUAGUCAUAAACUUCUCCAUUAAAGAUGAGAUAAACCCACUACCAAAUUCCUGUGCUUUCAACUUUAAUCUUCUUAAGCUUCAUUCUUAAUUCCAAUAUUUGCUGCAAUAGAACAAGGCAGCAGAUUAUUAGUUUCAUUUGUGUAUCUCUUUAAUACUUAAGUACACAAGUGGUGGAGGUGUCACCAUAAACCAAAACGAAAAAAUAAAAGCAAUUCCCAUAAACCAAACCAAAAAUAUCAAUUUUAUGCUAUGAUCCAAUGAUAAAACCAACAACAGAAACUCAUGCUUCAUCAGCAGUCAGCUUGUUUUUUGCUGUGGGCAUACAGAUAAUACGAGGUCAAAAUAUACUUGCAUUAGCAAACCUCACUAAGUUAACGCCAAUAAGGACAGUAAUUAUCUAAAUUUAACAAAUGCAAUGAUUUCACAAUUUUGAAAGUCAAAGAUUACAGACUACUAUAUGUAUAUCAGCCACAAAAAUAGAAAUUUGCAAUGAUUACUUACAGAUCAGUAAAUAACUGCAGCAGCAUAAGGGAUUUUUGGGAAAGAAAAUCUAGACCAUGGGCACUCACUUUGUAGCUUCAGCAUCUGCAAGAUAGAACAUUCUUAAAAUCAAUUAUAAUCACUGGGAAACGGGUAUAUGAGUUGCGCACUAUAAGAAACUUGAAGUUCAAUUGCCUUCUUCGUGAAUUUGAGCAAUCGAACUUUGAGAAAAGGAAAUAGUUUUGCUUUGCUGCAGAAAAAGAUUCUCAAGCAUCAUCCCCUUUCCAAUUAAAUGAGUUCUACUACUAUUCUAGUAGUACUAGUAGAGAAAAGGAAAUAGUUUUACUUUGUUUCCAAAGUAGAUAAGUCUUCCAUUACCACAACAGACUGAUUCUGCUAGGCUCUAUAAUGCAAGAAGACAAUACAUUAGAUUGCCUCAAAACUGAUCACUACAAAUGAGGUUGAGUGUUUGGAAUAAGGAUAUCUUUUUUUUUUGAUAAGGAAAUUGGGUCUUCAAGCGCUAGAAGGAGGGCUUGGAAUAAGGAUAUCUUAUCUGAAAUAUCUCACGAAUCCCAGGUAUCCAUAAGAAUUUAGCAAUGAAAAGAUAUCCUGACUAGCUCUCCUAAUCCCAGGUAUCCAUAAGAGUUUAGCAAUGAAAAGAUAUCCUGAUUAGCUCUCCUAAGGGCUGUAACAGAAGAAUCCCUCAUCUGAGAACUACUACAGAUCUAUUUUCAGUAAGGAAUUAAAUGAUUUACUUUCUUUUCCUAAUAACAUCUUAAUCUACGAUCUAUGAAUAAGAAAUAGGAGCAAAUCUGAAACGCACUUAAGUGGAGGCUUCUUUGAAGGGGUAAACUGCAGUUUUAGUCCUUGAAAUAUAACCUCAUUACAACUUUGAAUCUCAAUGUUAUUAUGAUCAGACAUAACCUUUAAUGUUUUGACACAUGGGCCAAUUUUGAUAUUUACUAAUGCAAUUAACUACAUUGAACAAAAAUUAAUGAAUCUAGUGGCUUCCACCACCUUCUGCCUCCUCUCCUGCUAAACCAGCAUCAAUCCGCCAGUCUAAGUGUAGUAGUGGAAGAGUAGUUUUAGUGCACGAAAUAUAACCUCGUUACGGCUUUGAGUCUACAUGCUAUUAUGAUCUCCACAUAACCUUUACUUUUUUGACAAAUCGGCCAAUUUUGAUAUUUACUAAUGCAAUUAACAAAAUUGAACAAAAAUUAAUGACAUUAGGCUUCCACAACCUUCUGCCUGCUCUUCUGCUAAACCAAUCCCCUGUACUGCUACUGCUGCUCUUGUUGCUACUUGCCCAAAAAAAAAGUACAUCAACUUCUUGUAA
rnacentral:lncRNA from 1 species